rnacentral:rRNA from 1 species
CUAAUACAUGCAAGUCGAGCGGACAGAUGGGAGCUUGCUCCCUGAUGUUAGCGGCGGACGGGUGAGUAACACGUGGGUAACCUGCCUGUAAGACUGGGAUAACUCCGGGAAACCGGGGCUAAUACCGGAUGGUUGUUUGAACCGCAUGGUUCAAACAUAAAAGGUGGCUUCGGCUACCACUUACAGAUGGACCCGCGGCGCAUUAGCUAGUUGGUGAGGUAACGGCUCACCAAGGCAACGAUGCGUAGCCGACCUGAGAGGGUGAUCGGCCACACUGGGACUGAGACACGGCCCAGACUCCUACGGGAGGCAGCAGUAGGGAAUCUUCCGCAAUGGACGAAAGUCUGACGGAGCAACGCCGCGUGAGUGAUGAAGGUUUUCGGAUCGUAAAGCUCUGUUGUUAGGGAAGAACAAGUACCGUUCGAAUAGGGCGGUACCUUGACGGUACCUAACCAGAAAGCCACGGCUAACUACGUGCCAGCAGCCGCGGUAAUACGUAGGUGGCAAGCGUUGUCCGGAAUUAUUGGGCGUAAAGGGCUCGCAGGCGGUUUCUUAAGUCUGAUGUGAAAGCCCCCGGCUCAACCGGGGAGGGUCAUUGGAAACUGGGGAACUUGAGUGCAGAAGAGGAGAGUGGAAUUCCACGUGUAGCGGUGAAAUGCGUAGAGAUGUGGAGGAACACCAGUGGCGAAGGCGACUCUCUGGUCUGUAACUGACGCUG